rnacentral:rRNA from 1 species
AUGCGCAAUGGGCUUUCAUCACCGAUGCUCCUGACAUCUUGGAUGAUUUGGAAACACAGGAACGACUGCAUCUUCGGUCGUGCGCGGCCAUCCGUUCACACUAUCGUGGGCAGGAUUAAAGUGGAGGCUAGGCUUUGGGCAAGGGCCGGCGCUGACGGGCUUAGAGUUGUGCUCCCCAUCACAUGGGAUGAUUGUAAACCACCGCCUAUGAGGAAUGUAACUUCAAACUCUCUUUUAAAUGAAAUGAAAUGCAAAGAUCCUUUGCCUUUCUCGAAAAAAAAAAUUGAUUACUUCACCUGUUUUGGGCUGGCAACUUUAUUAUAUAUUCCUACAAAUUUUCAUGGUAACUCUAUGUCCUUUUCCUUCAUAGGGACAUACAUUAUAUGCCAAGUCAUAUGCUUUGCUGUUUUCGACAACUAG